rnacentral:misc_RNA from 1 species
GCUAAAUAAUAUAUUUUGAAACUGUCUUUUAACAACAUUUAAAAUAAUAUUUGUUAAUAUAUAAAAAAAAUAUAUCAUUUUAACCAUCAGGCAAUUUAUGUUGGAGCUCUCUGAGCCUGGAAUUGGACUUGAAAAGCAUGCAUCGUAAGGCAUGUUUUAACAAUGAAUUGGAAGAUUGAACAAUCAGCUCUGCAACAAGGUAAUGGAAAUCUACAUACAUUACAAUGCAGCAGUUUGAGUAUGAUUGGGAGUAGUUUGCCGAAGUACUUCACUGCUGUUCAAGAAAUGGUUGCAUCUAGCUUCCUGAACUGCUACACUGCUGUUGAAGUGCAUUUGUGAGCUAUUAUCAAAUUUAUUACCCACAAGGGAAAAUGAAUCCAUAUAGACACCCAAAAAAGAAAUUAGUGGGUCUGCCCGACUCUUGUCUAUAACAAAUUUCAGGUGCUGAGAUUCUACAGUGGGAAAUUGCAAAAGCCUCUGAUAUCCUACUGUGGUGCCAUUGAUCACUUUUUUCCAUUCCCCAUCUUUUUCAAUCUCAAGAUGGAACUCAAUAAUCCGUUGUCCCAUUUGAAUUGGUUCUUGCACUUGCAGAACAUUGAAAGAUACCGACUCCGAAAGAUCUAAAUAUAACUCCCAAUUUGAUUGAUUCUCCUCAGGAGCCCAAUAGGUGUAGAUUCCUUCUUCAAGGACAUUGUUGGGGUCAAACCGUGAAUCGACAAUGCCGCCUCGUGUACUGCUGGCACUAAGAAGAGCAUUCUUGGCUAGAUUAUAAGAAAAUAUAGACUUCUGGAGUUCAGUAAAUUCUUGAAGCACUUUAAUGUCUUCAGCUGAUACAAGGCCUGAAGAGUUAGGGGGCACAUUUAGCAACAAUAGACAGUUUCUGCCAACAGAUUUGUAAUAUAUAUCAAGAAGCCUCAUUGCAGAUUUUGGGAUUUCUGAUGCAUGCCAAAACCAACCAGGUCUAAUGGAGACAUCACACUCAGCAGGCACCCAAUCAUGACCUGAUGGGUCUCCUCCCUGUGAGUAUCUGUUGGACGGACGAGAAGUGGAUAAAAAUCUCAUAUUUGAUAUGGUAAUGACACUUCUGAAGAAUGCAAGCAACAAAAGGAGAAUUGUCAAGAUAAAAAUUGCAUCCUUCCUAUUAAAAGAGAAAAGAAGCCUAUUCUUCCACCGUUCCUUUCUGGGAAUGAGCAGACAUUUGGUAUAUGUCAGAGGGCACAAUGCAUCUCAUAUGUUAAGAAAUUAUUCAGAAGUGGAGAGACCAGUUUGGUUAAAUGAAUACGAUGAUUAGUUGAGGAUCACAAUCUAUGAGUAUGGAAACCAAGGAAUUUUUCUGAAGACAUUAAAACACAAGAUAGUCAGACCUUUGAAAAGCUCAGCAAAAGCAUAAACAGUUCACUAUUAACUGGUCACAGAGACAUGGAACCCUGGAUCAUUUUUGCAUUUUAAUUGUAAAUGCAACAAAACUUCAAAAUGGGAAAUCAAAAGGUUCACUUUUUAGAAUAAGUUUCAAAGAUCCCUUACCAAACAAUAAAUCCAACCAUUGAUUUACAUUACAUCAUCCUUAUUAAUAACUGGAGGUUAAAUUAGCAAGCUACAUAUUCAAAACACUAGAUGCAGGGUAUUGAUAUCCAAAUUGGAGUUAGAGAAAACAGAAUGAAUUCACUCCACCUGGGAACUUAAUCAUGGGCAAACCCAAUCAAUCAAGCACACAUUCUCCGCAACAAUCUCCCAGCAUGCAUAACCUGUCUCCUUUCAUUGCCUUCAGUUGAAUUGUUCUCAUUAAGGUAAAAUAGGGGAUUUGUGGUAGCAAUUAGCAUGACAAUUAAGUAGCACCUUUUAUCCAAGUGAACAAGUUACCUUGAACCAGAUAUAGAAUCUUUAUCAUGGAUAACAAGAGAAACUCAAAAUGUGUAAAGAACUUGCAGAUAAUUAUCUAUCAAAUAACCAGGUUUUAAAUGCCAUAAAUCAUUAAUAGUAGAGAAAGUAAGAAAGUCAAACUCACAGUGGAUCAGUGCCUCCAAUCUUUGCAGUACUUCGAUUGAAAAGAGACCAGCAUGUAGACCCGGCAACACCAGCCUCAUCCCCAAUCCACCUUGUGUCAGGACCAGCAUCAGAAAAUAUUACAGCACCAGGCUGUAGUUGAUGGAUGAGACUAAACCAAGUAUCAAAAAAAUACUCCAUGUCCUUCUCUCCCUCCCCUUUUGCACCAUCCAACCAUACCUCUUUGAUCUCUCCAUACCUAUCACAAUUUUUCAAAAUACAUUAUAAAGCUCUAAAUUGUUUAAAUGAAGUCACAGCAAAACUUAAACUUGCUAACAAAGCAGCAAAAUUAUUGAAUUAGCUAUUUCACAAAUAAUAUCAUUAAGAUUGAACUAACCAAAAGAGAUCACAUCUCGUAUCUUGACAAAUAAAAUAAAGCUUCAACUCUAUCUGAAAAGCCCAUAAAACACCUUCAGUGGACAAUAGAUAAUCAUAUACACUGAGAUGGAUUAAAGAAUAUGAUUAUAUGAUCAACAAAAUGAUCUACAACCUGCUUGAAAAGAUUGGAAAAGAAACAUCAUAAAACUGAACCUGCAGGCCCUCCAAAGAAACUUAAUGCAGAACAAGAAUUUGACAAAAGCUUAUUCUUAGUGGCACUGGCAUCUCGAAACCAUAACAAACAAAACAAACCAUCAAAAACUCUAAACACCAAACAAAAGCAGAUACCAAAACUCACAUUGUCAACGACUCGGUUAAUCAAGUUAACUUGUCAAAAUGCUCAAUGACAACACAAAGUUUCAGAGAAACAAUGAAUAGAAGGAAUUAAAGGAGAAAACCAUAAUUGAUCAGACACAACGAUUAAAACAAAAAACUCAUAAAUAACCAACAAAAAAAAAUCACCUGGUCAACAACUCAGUCAUUUGGCCCAUGUAGAACUCAUUAUAUUCCAGAGUUUUCCCAUAAGAAACCUCAUGCCUAUCCCAUGGUGAAAGAUAAAGGCCUAAAUCCAAGCCAGCCUCUUUGGCAGACAAAGCCAGCUCCUUAACAACAUCACCAGCUCCAUUCCUCCAAGAACUUGACUUCACAGAGUAAUCUGUAUAUUCGCUAGGCCAUAAACAGAACCCAUCAUGGUGUUUUGCAGUGAGUAUCACACGAUUAAAGCCAGCAUCUUUCGCCACUUGAACCCACUGAGUGGUGUUGAGGCGGGUCGGGUUGAAUAAAGAAGGGUCAGCUCCGCCAGUACCCCACUCAGAGUCUGUGAAGGUAUUGGGACCAAAGUGAAAGAAGAGGGCCAUGGAAGAGAGUUGCCAUUGGAGCUGAGGGGCAGAGGGGAGCGGUAAAAUUGGAAGUGGGGGUGGCUUGAGGAGGGCAGAGUAGCAAAUGGGUAAUAGAAAGAGUGAGAGAAAGAAGAGAAUUGGAUUUAAAUGGAUGUGAAAUGAGAUGGGUAUCGUGUUAAAGUUUCUCUUAUGGAUCUUCUUCUCCUCCUCCAUGGUGGAGCAGACAUGGGAGAAGGAGACGGAGGGAUACACAGGUAAAGGCCGUAGGUCAAAGGUCACUUUAACUUAAUUCACGACAAAAACUUCCUGACCAAUGAGAACGUAGAAUUGGUGUGGUGAGUGGUCGUGUUAUUGGACUCUGAAAGCAAUAGUAUGGGCUUUUAUACCGUGGAGGGUAGAGCUCUUAGAGAUGUCCAUGUAUGGGCUUCCUUAGCUAGAGAUUGAAGAAAACCAGAU